rnacentral:rRNA from 1 species
AUAUCAAUAAGCGGAGGAAAAGAAACUAACAAGGAUUCCCCUAGUAACUGCGAGUGAAGCGGGGAAAGCUCAAAUUUGAAAUCUGGCAGUCUUUGACUUGUCCGAGUUGUAAUCUAGAGAAGUGUUACCUGUGCUGGACCGUGUAAAAGUCUCCUGGAAUGGAGCAUCAUAGAGGGUGAGAAUCCCGUCUUUGACAUGGACUGCCUGCAUGUUGUGGUAUGCUCUCAAAGAGUCGGGUAGUUUGGGAAUGCUGCCCUAAUUAGGAGAUAAACUUCUUCUAAGGCUAAAUAUUUAUAGGAGACCGAUAGCGCACAAGUA